ACGCUGGCGGCGUGCCUAAUACAUGCAAGUCGAGCGGACUUGAUGGAGUGCUUGCACUCCUGAGAGUUAGCGGCGGACGGGUGAGUAACACGUAGGCAACCUGCCCUCAAGACUGGGAUAACUACCGGAAACGGUAGCUAAUACCGGAUAAUUUAUUUCACAGCAUUGUGGAAUAAUGAAAGACGGAGCAAUCUGUCACUUGGGGAUGGGCCUGCGGCGCAUUAGCUAGUUGGUGGGGUAAUGGCUCACCAAGGCGACGAUGCGUAGCCGACCUGAGAGGGUGAACGGCCACACUGGGACUGAGACACGGCCCAGACUCCUACGGGAGGCAGCAGUAGGGAAUCUUCCGCAAUGGGCGAAAGCCUGACGGAGCAACGCCGCGUGAGUGAUGAAGGUUUUCGGAUCGUAAAGCUCUGUUGCCAAGGAAGAACGUCUUCUAGAGUAACUGCUAGGAGAGUGACGGUACUUGAGAAGAAAGCCCCGGCUAACUACGUGCCAGCAGCCGCGGUAAUACGUAGGGGGCAAGCGUUGUCCGGAAUUAUUGGGCGUAAAGCGCGCGCAGGCGGUUCUUUAAGUCUGGUGUUUAAACCCGAGGCUCAACUUCGGGUCGCACUGGAAACUGGGGGACUUGAGUGCAGAAGAGGAGAGUGGAAUUCCACGUGUAGCGGUGAAAUGCGUAGAUAUGUGGAGGAACACCAGUGGCGAAGGCGACUCUCUGGGCUGUAACUGACGCUGAG
rnacentral:rRNA from 2 species